rnacentral:rRNA from 1 species
GGACUACCCGGGUAUCUAAUCCUGUUUGCUCCCCUAGCUUUCGUGCCUCAGUGUCAGGAAUCGUCCAGGGACUCGCCUUCGCCACUGGUGUUCCUCUCGAUAUCUACGCAUUUCACUGCUACACCGAGAAUUCCAGUCCCCCCUCCGAUCCUCAAGCCGGAUAGUAUCCAAUGCAGUUUCGCAGUUGAGCUGCGAGAUUUCACAUCAGACUUACCCGACCACCUACGCACCCUUUACGCCCAGUGAAUCCGAACAACGCUCGGGACCUCUGUAUUACCGCGGCUGCUGGCAC